rnacentral:lncRNA from 1 species
AGUCCAUAAUGAGGGCAACCUAACUCAAUAUCCUUGAAGCGCUCCCAUGCAUCAUAAAAAGUCUCAUUAUCCUCUUGAAAGAACUUGGUCAAGCUAUCCCGCAUAUAAGUAGUCCGAUGAUGUGGAUAAUAAGCAUUCAAGAAGACUCUUUGCAUAUCGGCCCAAGAGAGAAUGGAUCUUGGCUUGAGCUUAUGAAACCAUGUGCGUGCUUGAUCUUUCAAAGAAAAUGGGAAUAAUCGAAGCCUCAAACCCUCCAAGGUUAAUCCUCCCAAGUGCAUAGUGGAACAUAUGGCAUCAAACUCAAUUAUAUGAUCAUAGGGCCUCUCACUAGCCAUGCCAUGGAAAGUAGGUAGAAUAGAUAACAUGUUAGGCUUGAUCUCAAAGUUGGCAUUUGUCGGAGGAAGCACAAUGCAAGAUGGAGCAUUUACAAUGCUAGGACAUGAAUAAUGGCUCAAUGGAAUCUCCUCCUCAUCUUGUGGUCCUUGACGCUCGUCACCCAUAUCUACUACUCGAAUAGGAGACCUAGAAGGUGCUUGUGAGCGAUGUCUUGGUCUCCUAACUCUCC